rnacentral:rRNA from 1 species
GACGAACGCUGGCGGCGUGCUUAACACAUGCAAGUCGAACGGAAAGGUCCUGCUUUUGCGGGGUGCUCGAGUGGCGAACGGGUGAGUAACACGCGAGUAUCCUGCCCUUGUCUUUGGGAUAACUUCAGGAAACUGGGGCUAAUACCGGAUAGGAUCUCCUGCUGCAUGGUGGGGGUUGGAAAGUUUCGGCUGUUGGGGAUGGACUCGCGGCUUAUCAGCUUGUUGGUGGGGUAGUUGCUUACCAAGGCUUUGACGGCUAGCCGGCCUGGGAGGCUGACCGGCCACAUUGGGACUGAGGUACGGCGCAGACUCCUACGGGAGGCAGCAGUGGGGAAUAUUGCACAAUGGGCGGAAGCCUGAUGCAGCAGCGCCGCGUGCGGGAUGACGGCCUUCGGGUUGUAAACCACUUUCGCCUGUGACGAAGCGUGAGUGACGGUAAUGGGUAAAGAAGCACCGGCUAACUACGUG